UACAGAGACUGCAAGCGUUAUUCGGAUUCACUGGGCGUAAAGGGUGCGCAGGCGGCCAAGUGUGUUAGGCGUGAAAGCCUGGGCUUAACCCCAGAAUUGCACCUAAAACUACAUGGCUAGAGCAUUGGAGAGGGUAGCGGAAUUCACGGUGUAGCAGUGAAGUGCGUAGAUAUCGUGAGGAACACCAGAGGCGAAGGCGGCUACCUGGACAAUUGCUGACGCUCAGGCACGAAAGCGUGGGAGCAAAAGG
rnacentral:rRNA from 1 species